rnacentral:rRNA from 1 species
AAGAGAGUUAUGACAUAUCGCGAUGGCACUCCAACAACGAGCGGCACUGGGAGCUUCACAACCCCCGUGCGUGAAAACGACAGCCGCGACGGAAAUGGCGACUGCCCUGGUGCGCGUACCCGUGCGGCCGUCGCCGCCUUGAUCUCCUCGCUCUGGUCUACUGCGCGUUCGGCGUGCCCAGAUCCAGCACCCCCGUGCCGCGCUCUCUCCUCUCCUCCAGUCUGCCUCUCCGUUCAUUCGCCCACCAUGGCUCCCCAAGCUCCGACAUCGGCGGCCGCCCCGACCUUUUGGGAACCUCCUGCCGGUGUCCUCCCUAUUUCAACGACGGCGCCCGCUCCGGCCUCUCGGGCGCCUCCUGCCGGCGCCACCACCGAUACGACUGCGGAGGCCGCCCCGGCCUCUCUAACUCCUUCUGACGGCACCACCACUGCUACGACGACGGAGGCCGCCCCGGCCUCUCUGCCGCUGCCCUUUGUGGAUGGCGCCGCCGCGACUUUCCUUGCCUUCCGCAAGGCCGACCCGGCCAUGCGGGGACGCCUGCAACUGCUGCGGCCCUCCACAACCAAGACGCGAGCCAGCUCUGAUAUGAGCCUGGCGACUCCGACGCCUACCAUGCCGCCUGUCGCUGCUGCCGAAGACGAUGGUCUUCAUGGAGCUCACUUUGUUGGCCCCGAUUUAGGUGCAGCCCCCGACGCCGCUGUGCGGACCCUGCAGCCGCCGUUGGCCGUGUCGUGGGCUUCCCUCGCGGACAACGUCUGCAACAUUGAUGCUCACAACGAGCUCGCCCCGCUGACGCAGUUGGCUGCCAGGUGCUCCAGUGGGGUGAGCGAUCCAGUUGCCGCUGCUCCUGAGGCGUCUUUGGACCAGGGAUGGGUGAAGGUGGGGGGCCGGCGUCGUUCGGCGUCGCCGAUAUCGGCUCUGGCUCCCUGGCCUAUCCCUGCCUGGCUCCGCGGUAGAUGCUGUAGAGGCCUCGCCCCUGGACACCGGGCGGCGGUUUGCAGAGAUCCCUUCCGAUGCUCUCGUUGCUUGGAGAACAGUCAUCGUGCUCGUGACUGCCGCAACCCAUGGCGUUCUCUCAGCUCUCUGGCAUGUCUUGUCGUCCCGCCCGUCUCUCGCCUUGGCAUCCAACAUUGUCAACCUCCUACUCCAAGAGAGGCCCAAUUAAAAUCCACACUCCCUUCCGUUGCGCUUCACCGUGGAUCUUGGGCGUCUGUGGUUUCUGCUUCCGCUAGCCCGGCA